UAACAAUGUUAACCUAACAGUUUCUUUCCUAUUUAUCUCACUUUACCAUCAUGUAAUAACGCUUUAAUUGAAUAUUUUAAUAAAUCAUUAAUUUUCGUUUUAUCUUAUACUUUGUAUAGUUGAAAGUGUUAAUUGUGAACCUUAAUUUACUUGUUCAUUGGUGUCUAAUUGUGUACAUUUACCAUUUACCCAACUCAUUGACCAUGCUGCCUUUACCAUAAAAACCUGUUACCAGUAACACAUAAACAAACAUUCAACCCAAAAUUAUUAUAAUAAUUGAUUGUUUUAUAACACUUACCAGAUGAUUGUGACUCAAUUUUUGAAUAUUUUGAUUCGGACUGUUGACUGUGUGAAUCUAGUUCAUCAGCAAAUCAUUACAAUUACAAUUUCCAGUGCAACCUUAGACAACUCAUGUCUUUGUCCUACCAAACAACCUCAACACCAUCAACCUACCAAAUAUCCUUUUCUACAAUUGUUGUUCACUCAAUUUGCCGUCAUUUGCUUAACUGCAAGCUGAUCAACACUUUAAUCCCGUUGGCAGUUUCUUUCUGUCAAGUAUCAUUAUUGCCAUUAUUUUUACAUUUUUUGUUAUUCCAUUUCACUGUUUUCUUUUUGUUUAUUUUAAUAUCAACAAACCCUGUACAUUAACCAUGUUACUUGUUAAAUAUUGAAGCAACUUGCAACUUUACUGCUGAUAAGCCGACACAACUAAAAAGUCAAACAAAACGGUUUUACAAAGUGUUGACAACAGGUUAACCUCUUACGACACACAAUUUUACCAGAAAAUUGAUAACCAUCUUUGGUUUAACCAACGGUUUUUGUCUUUGUCUCAACUCAUCGAUUAGUUGGCGCCAUCAGUUCAACCCUUUGUCAUCUCACAAUGUAUCAUUAAAUUGGAUUGUGUGUUCUCUGUGUCUGUGUUUUUAGUUCUGUUUAAUCAACCAAUUGUUUGUUUCCAUUGAACUUUGAUGGUAAAAGUUUUCUGUUGUUUUUUUCUGCCUGCAUUUGUGGACUAAAUUAAUUGGUUACAAUUAAUUAAGGAUGUUCUGUUGGUUGUUAAAAGAAGCUAAAAUGCCUGCUGUUGAUGAAAACAACAUUGGUGCUCUUGCAUUACAUUAUGCUGCUGCUAAAGGUUGUCCUAUUUGUGUUAAACUUCUUGUUGAAUCAUGUCCUGAACUAAGAAAUGCUUGUGGAUGUAUUGAUUCUCUCGACUACUGGAAUACUCAUUUACCUGGUCAUCAUCAUGGUCCAACCGGUGACAACUUUUACCUUCGCCCAUGUGAAAAUGGAGUCAAUGGAUGUGGCAACGUCAUCAAUGAUGGUGUCAAGCCAACUGAUAAUCUUCAUUUUCCUCGGAAACAUUCAACAUCUACUACAAACUCAACAACAGGAGCAUCACCUCACCACCACCACCACCAUCUUCAUCAUCAUCACCUUCCAACUCAUCAAAACUCACAAUCAAUUCAUCGGUUAAACUCAUCUGGAGCUAAUAGCAGUAAAGCGUCCGAUUCUGGUAAAGAAUCAGUUGCCGAUGAAGAUUCACUUCUUCCACCGUCAACAUCAAACACUGAACCUUUUUUUCUUCAUGAUCCUUCUUGUGUCACAUCAAAUGAUCGGGUUAAAAAAUUAUUCCGCAAAAAUCGACCCAAAGGGCCAUCCAAAGUCUAUGAGAAGCAUCGUAAAUCAGAUAAUCAUCCUAUUAAAUUAGUUAAAGCAGAAGUUUAUACAAAUUCUGAUGAAGGAACAAUGUCUGAAUCUUCUGAUCCACCUCCUGAUUAUGAUCAUGAUCAUAUUAAAUGCGAUUCAUCUUCAAGUCCACCAACGUCAGAAUUGACCUCUUCAAUGUCAAGUGGAGUAACUGAGUCAUCCUCUUCGUCAUCGUCAACUAAUAGUGAUAAAUGUAUUUAUCAGGAAUUUGAUGAUUUAGAGAAAAGAAUUUAUCAAGAAGUCGAUGAAUUGGAGCCUAUCAUCGACUCAUCAGCUUCUACUUUGAGCAAAAAGACUGAAUCUGAAGCUAUUAAUGGUACCUCCAACCAUAAUGGGACAGUUAAAAAUCGAAUUAAUAGUGAGAGCAAAUGUUCAGAAAUUUACAUUAAAGAUAAAAUUUACUCGAUUGAUUCUCGCCCAUUAAAAGUAGCCCCAAAUGACCGUCAUAAAGAAGUCAAAAAUUUAAUUGCCAAGUUAGAUGUUGGUGAAUCAGUAGCCAAUGGUAACACUUUAAACAGAGCCUCAUCAAUGUCAACAAUCAAUCAAUUAGCCACAUCGUCAUCGUCUUCAACUGGACCCACCAUAAACACAUCUACAAUACCGACAGUGAACCAACAAACGCAAACAACAUCAAGUAUUCAAAGUCACCAACUACCUCCACCUCCGCCUCCUCCACCACCAGCUAACCUAUUAAUAUCCAAAGAAGCUGUCAGUAAAAUACCUUUAUCUUCAUCAUCUUCAUCUUCAUCUGAAUAUGAAGAGCCAGGAUCAAAUAAUGUCGAUAAAAGUCGCAAGUUGAAAUUAAUAGCAGAGAAACAGUUAGCAUUCAUCCCGCCACAAUUUAACUCACCACCAGAUUCAGAUACAAACAUAAAGCCCUCUGAAUAUUUGAAACGUGUUGCUGGUAAAACCGUUUCUGCUUCACCCAGAUUCAUCAAUUCAGGGUCAGGACCUGGAAUGGGAUCAGGAGGAGGUUGUAAGGAAAUGAUAUUUUUCGAGAAAAGACGAAUCAAAAGAAGUUCAUCUGAAACUCACUUGUAUCAGCCUCAUAUGAACUCUUCCUGUUCUUCAUCAAAUGAAUAUGAAGCAAUCAAAGAUGAUUCACAUUCAUCAGCAUCUUCAGUAUCAACCCAUAAUCUUCACCAUCCACACACUUUACACCACAGCCAUCAUCAUCCACUUCGCCCAUCUUCCUCAGCAACCUCUGAACAUCUCUAUGAAACUUGUCAUUCAACUAAAUCAGGCUGGAGUAGUUCAAUUCGUUCAGAAUCAAGUUGCUCUAGUAAUUCACAUUCAACCCUCAAUGGACUCGGAGUAGGAUCAGGAGGAAUUGGAAUAGCUAAAUCCAAUCUGAUUAACCGAAAUGGGUUAAGUGGAUCUACAUGUAACCUGGGUAACGGGUACGGUGUAACGUCUGGAUCAAUUGAUGGAAUUAAGGGAACGUCAUUCAAUGAAUCUUCACAAUCUAACAACAAAUCAAUUGUCGAGUUAGCAUCAUCAACUAAUCAGUCCUCAUCAUCCUCAUCACCAGCUAACGUGAAUGGUAGCUGCAACUUUACAGUUACUCAAGAUGAACUCAAGAGAAUCCAUCUGAGGAAAACGGUUAAACCUUCUAACGAGCGAACCGUUUUAUUACACAAAAAUGACGUUAUUGCUGAACUCAAAAUGUCCAGAGAUUUGGAUGGGAUAAAGAAACGGAAAGAGCAAGAUAAAAGUCGAGAUGAGGUUAAGGAUAAAAUGGCUGAACUAGCAAAUGAAUAUACAGCUGAAAAGUUUCUAGAUAAAGUGGCUACUCAUGAUAAUAGUGGGGUGCCAAUACCUCAAUGGAAGAGGCUCAUGUUGGCUAAGAAGAGUGCUGAGAAAGCUCGGAAAGAGGCUGAACAAGAGUUUUUAUCUGAACAUGAAGCUAAACGAAUUAGUGCAAUUCCUGAAUGGAAGAGGCAAUUAUUGAAUCGCAAAGAUGAACCUGGUUAUGGUUACUCAUCAAACUCAUCAACAACCUCAUCAAGUCCAACUGAAAGUUGAUGUAGGUUAUUAUUAAUUAUAAAUAUGAUUUUAAAAAUUGGACUCUUUGCCCUGUGAUUUAAUUACCUGAUUAUAAUAAUGAUUCAAUGAUUGAUCAAAUGAUGCAAAUAACAUAAUAACGAUAUUAUAAUAUUUCUAACCAACACAAUGGCUUUCCUUUUAAUGCUAAUAAUUUACAGGUUUAAAAAUGAAAAUCAAUGUUCACAAUCUAAUCAAGUGUCAUCACAAAGCUCAUGCAAACUCAUCAGCACCAAUCAAAGUCACCACCGAGAAUCGAAUCCUCCUUGGAGUUUUAAAUUGAGGAAAACCAAUUCAAUCUAUUGGUAAUCGUCUAUUACGGACAAUUGUUAUCAUUUAAUCAUCAACACUGAGUGUCAUUAAAAUGGACUCAACCAUCCUUUGACAAGAAAUUGAAAUUUGCCUCAAAAAAAUACAAAAAAUGGAGUGAUUUUUUGUCCAACAAAACAAAGAUCACCAAAAAAAGGAAGUAAAGAUCAAGAAAUGUUUUGGAUUGAACAUCAUUAAAUUGUUAUUAAUCAGCGAUUUGCGAGUCAUUGCAAUCCUCCAGUCUUAAAAUUUUACGCCAAUGUUAUUACACUAUAUUGAAGCCAUCCAAAUUGAUUUGAAAACACUACAACGAAUCAACUUAAUCUCACAAGCAAUUUGUUUUAUAAAUAUAUAUUAUUAUAUCCUGACUACAUGGAUAUCAAGUUUAUUUUGUUAACAUGAGUCUAUAAUUUUAUAAGAAAUAUAUACUCCAUGUAAAAGUGAUAAUUUUUUUGUUUCAUCGCUUAUAUAAAGGGAGAAUCAAAAUUUCCAUUCUUACCUGUAAUUGUAAUUAAUCGCUAUUUUACUUAUCACUUUAAUAUUUUGUUAAUUUUUUUGUUUGAAAUUAUAUUUUGUCAAAAAAGAUUUGAUAAAAGCUCAGUCUUUUCAAGAACAUGAUGAAUGAAAAAAUAUGAAUUUACUAUUUUCUUAUAUUGUAUUUUUGGUUAUUGAAAGUAAUUAUUGAUAAAUAAAAUCUUUUUUUC